rnacentral:rRNA from 1 species
AUGUGUGGUUUUCAAGCUAGGGGGAACGGAUUCUUUUAUAUACAUGAUGCUAGUACUCCCAAGCAAAACACUGAUAGGAACAGAUUUAUUGUGAUAACUGUGAUAGAAGGGCAAGCUAAUGGCAGGCAGUUAGUGGAGUUCUUUAAUGCGUACAUUAAUACAAACUGGAAGUGCUCUGCUAGGUCGAUUGGACUUAAUACAUUUGUAAUGAGGUUUCCCUCACCUAGAGAUGUGGAUGAGGCAUGUUUUGCCGAA